UGGGGAAUAUUGCGCAAUGGGCGAAAGCCUGACCCAGCAACGCCGCGUACAGGAUGAAGGCCCUCGGGUCGUAAACUGCUGUCGGGAGGGAAGAAAAGCAGCGGGAGGAAAUGACCGCUGCCUGACGGUACCUCCAAAGGAAGCGCCGGCUAACUCCGUGCCAGCAGCCGCGGUAAUACGGAGGGCGCAAGCGUUGUUCGGAAUUACUGGGCGUAAAGCGCGUGUAGGCGGUCUGGCAAGUCGGUUGUGAAAUCCCCGGGCUCAACCGGGGAACUGCGUCUGAUACUGGAUGGCUUGAAUCCGGGAGAGGGAUGUGGAAUUCCGGGUGUAGCGGUGAAAUGCGUAGAUAUCCGGAGGAACACCGGUGGCGAAGGCGGCUUCCUGGACCGAUACUGACGCUGAGGCGCGAAAGCUAGGGGAGCAAACGGGAUUAGAUACCCAAGUAGUCCCUGAGCGGGCUGGCAAGGCGCAU
rnacentral:rRNA from 1 species